rnacentral:rRNA from 1 species
GAUGAACGCUAGCUACAGGCUUAACACAUGCAAGUCGAGGGACCGGCGCACGGGUGAGUAACACGUAUCCAACCUGCCCUUUACUCGGGGAUAGCCUUUCGCAAGAACGAUUAAUACCCGAUGUAAAGGAUGGGGAUGCGUUCCAUUAGGUUGUUGGUGAGGUAACGGCUCACCAAGCCUUCGAUGGAUAGGGGUUCUGAAAGGAAUGUCCCGCACAUUGGAACGGAGACACGGGCCAAACUCAUACGGGAGGCAGAAGUGAGGAAGAUGGGUAAAUGGGCGUUAGCCUGAAACAGCCAAGUAGCGUGAAGGAUGAAGGCUUAUGGGUCGUAAACUUCUGUUAGAUAAGAAUAUGUAUUAUAUGAAUAAGGAGCGGCGAACUCCGUGCCAGCAGCCGCGGUAAUAC